rnacentral:tRNA from 1 species
GCGGAUGUGGCGGAAUUGGCAGACGCGCUGGCUUCAGGUGCCAGUGACCGCAAGGUCGUGGAGGUUCGAGUCCUCUCAUCCGCA